rnacentral:pre_miRNA from 1 species
UAUGGGAAAAGCAGGUGAAAAUGUGAUAUGUAUUUUUUCACCUGUUCUUCCUAUAUU